GUGACCACAGAGUCCGGAAGAGUAGGCCAGCGCAGCGGUGUGGAGCAGAAGUCUGUCUGACAGACCGGAGCCGCGCAAAGGAAGAGCCUGCCCUGAGGAGGCCGGCGGGCCGGCACAGUCGCACGGAGCAGAGGAAUUUACAAUGCCCACAGGGGAACGAACCCUGUGGACGUGCAGGCAGCCAAGUGGAUACAGUUCUGUCGGGGGUAAGAAAAUGGCUAUAAACAAGCAGAUCACGAAGAUUCGAUCCCCUCCGAUAUAAGACCUUCGUGUUUGGCCUCAUCAAGAAGUGAGUGCAAAUCAGCAAGGAAUUCCCUAGUAAGAUCAUGAGUUAAAGGUCCAUUCGUCAUUGAGUGGCAUGCUGGCAGGCGAGCCUAUCAGAAAGUGGAUUGAAAGGCAAAUCAGCAGUGUCGCUGGCACUCAAAGCUCCCGGCAGCAGGAAUUUUAAACUGAUCUGCUGCUUGGUCCUAGGGCCAACACUUUCAGCUUUAACUGAAGCCUGGCUGCGGCUGCAGCACAUGUAAUGUUGAGUUCCAGGGUUGGAAUGCCGCAAAUGAGGUGAUGUUGAGGAAGACAAUUUUGGCACUGAAGGUCAUGGAGGGCAUAUUUAAAAGCAUAAGAAUGGCUACACCGAAGGCAAACUUUCCUGCACAUAGCAAGCACAUUGCUGAGGCCACUACAAUUUCUAAAGAAAUGCUUAAUGACAAGAUUUAGCACAGGGAGAGUGUGCAAUGCCACCUAGUCGCAGUGCGGAGGAGGACCUGGAUGAAGAGGAGGAGGAUAGGUGGUAGGUGUCAAAGAUUGAACCGUACCGACGCACCUGUGUUAUUACUUUUUCCACUUUGAGGUAGAGCCUCAUUCUGCAAGAUGUUGUCCCAGAGGGCUGGGAAUUACAUGUAUUGUCCAUAGCUACUACUCCAAGUAUCUAACAUGGCAUGCACUGUGCUGCACACUGACAACUCCAUGGAGUUGGCACUCCCGGCUUUUUUGGGGAAAAAAAUGGUGACUAGGUAUUUGCAACCUUGGUUGGGCACUCCUCAUUAAUUGCAUAAAUGCUGUGGAGUCAAAAAGAUGGAAGAAGGCACCUGCAUUACCAAGACCUUGGCUGGGUGUGAAUUAUAGCAAACUACAACAAGAUGACUGGACAAAUACUGUUGUCUGUAUGACAUAGAUUCCCCAAUAGAUAACUGAUGGGAUAGAGGAGGAUACAACACUGAUGAAAACAAAAGAGAAUGUUUUGCCUGUGGACAAGACCUGGCUGCUAGACAGCAGGCCUACAUCUGUUCCAUUUGAAAGGUGUUCUGCCCCUACCUAGACUACACGCUUCUUCGCUGAUAGUACCAAUACCCUCCUUCUCUCAACAUGUCAACCUGGACCUCACAUCCAGUCCAAAACUACAUCGUCAUUAUCAAACUUAUCCUCAUCCCCCACCACUCCUCUCUGCAUGAACUUCUGUUAUCUUACCAUGGGCUUCUUGCUCCCCCCACCAUAUCCUCCAUGCCAAACUAGUGCUGUGCUUGGCCACAGCUUUCACUUCUUUAGCAACACACUCCAAAGGUUAACUGUCCUUACACAACUCCUCAUCAUGGUUAAUGAUAUCCUUCUGCUUAGCACUAGGGGAGGAGCAAAGACAGAGAUGAUAAAGCAGAGUCUCUAGGAGGGACAUUUCUACCACUACAUGUAACUCUAGACCAUGGGGAAUCCACUGACACCUGGCUCAAUGUCAUACCGCCAGACUAUUCUUUCUCCUGCUGGGAAGAUCUCACUUUUGUUUGCUGACAAGGCUGCUGCUGCUACUACCAUCAGGCACUUGGCUGCUGUUGCUUCCUGUACUAGUGCUGGUACUGACACCAAGAUUCUUACACGCAGACAACAUGGCUGGGGUACUCUGUCCUCUACUCAGUCUGACAAUUCCAUUACCAGAUAUGUUUUGUUUUUUGUUUCUUUAUUGAAAAAGAUUUGGAGGUUAUUUUCCUUUCACCUGCUAGUUAACUUUCACUCUCAAUGCUACAAAUGCUAUGAUUUUUAUUUUACUUAAAGGGGUACUCCGGCGCUUAGACAUCUUAUCCCCUAUCCAAAGGCUGUCCGGGCAUGCUGGGAAUUGUAGUUUUGCAACAUCUGGAGAUCCGCAGGUUGAAGACCACUGUAUAUGCUA